GGAAUUUAGUGGGAUUUAGCUGCUCAGGAUUGAGUUUUCGAUGCUCAGGACCCCUCCAACAUGAAGAAAUGCCUUGAAUACGCCUUGCUCCUCAUCAUCUCUAUGCUUCACGGCUCGCUGCAGCAGAGAAUCAUCGGAGGACAGGAGGUUGAGCCCUAUUCCAUAAAGUACCAGGCCUCUAUCCAGUACAACAACUACCAUUACUGCGG
rnacentral:lncRNA from 1 species